rnacentral:rRNA from 1 species
CUAGACGAACUGCCGUUGACAAAACGGAGGAAGGUGGGGAUGACGUCAAAUCAUCAUGCCCCUUAUGUUCUGGGCUACACACGUGCUACAAUGGCCGGUACAGACGGACGCAAAGCCGCGAGGUGGAGCAAAUCCUAAAAAGCCGGUCUCAGUUCGGAUUGCAGGCUGCAAUUCGCCUGCAUGAAGUCGGAAUCGCUAGUAAUCGCAGGUCAGCAUACUGCGGUGAAUACGUUCCCGGGCCUU